AUUGAACGCUGGCGGCAUGCCUUACACAUGCAAGUCGAGCGGAUGACGGGAGCUUGCUCCUUGAUUCAGCGGCGGACGGGUGAGUAAUGCCUAGGAAUCUGCCUGGUAGUGGGGGACAACGCUUCGAAAGGAACGCUAAUACCGCAUACGUCCUACGGGAGAAAGCAGGGGACCUUCGGGCCUUGCGCUAUCAGAUGAGCCUAGGUCGGAUUAGCUAGUAGGUGAGGUAAUGGCUCACCUAGGCGACGAUCCGUAACUGGUCUGAGAGGAUGAUCAGUCACACUGGAACUGAGACACGGUCCAGACGCCUACGGGAGGCAGCAGUGGGGAAUAUUGGACAAUGGGCGAAAGCCUGAUCCAGCCAUGCCGCGUGUGUGAAGAAGGUCUUCGGAUUGUAAAGCACUUUAAGUUGGGAGGAAGGGCAGUAAGCGAAUACCUUGCUGUUUUGACGUUACCGACAGAAUAAGCACCGGCUAACUCUGUGCCAGCAGCCGCCGUAACAC
rnacentral:rRNA from 1 species